AGUGGCAGACGGGUGAGUAACGCGUGGGAACGUGCCCUUCGCUUCGGAAUAGCCCCGGGAAACUGGGAGUAAUACCGGAUACGCCGUAUUGGGAAAGAUUUAUCGGCGAAGGAUCGGCCCGCGUUGGAUUAGCUAGUUGGCGGUGUAAUGGACCACCAAGGCUACGAUCCAUAGCUGGUCUGAGAGGAUGAUCAGCCACACUGGGACUGAGACACGGCCCAGACUCCUACGGGAGGCAGCAGUGGGGAAUCUUGGACAAUGGGCGCAAGCCUGAUCCAGCCAUGCCGCGUGAGUGAAGAAGGCCUUAGGGUUGUAAAACUCUUUCGCCGGAGAAGAUAAUGACGGUAUCCGGAGAAGAAGCCCCGGCUAACUUCGUGCCAGCAGCCGCGGUAAUACGAAGGGGGCUAGCGUUGUUCGGAAUUACUGGGCGUAAAGCGCACGUAGGCGGGUUUGUAAGUAGGGGGUGAAAUCCCAGGGCUCAACCCUGGAACUGCCUUCUAAACUGCAAGCCUGGAGGUCAGGGGAGGCGAGUGGAAUACCGAGUGUAGAGGUGAAAUUCGUAGAUAUUCGGUGGAACACCAGUGGCGAAGGCGACUCGCUGGACUGAUACUGACGCUGAGGUGCGAAAGCGUGGGGAGCAAACAGAAUUAGAUACCCUGGUAGUCCACGCCUUAAACGAUGAGAGCUAGUUGUCAGU
rnacentral:rRNA from 1 species